GACGAACGCUGGCGGCGUGCUUAACACAUGCAAGUCGAACGGAAAGGCCCUGCUUUUGUGGGGUGCUCGAGUGGCGAACGGGUGAGUAACACGUGAGUAACCUGCCCUUGACUUUGGGAUAACUUCAGGAAACUGGGGCUAAUACCGGAUAGGAGCUCCUGCUGCAUGGUGGGGGUUGGAAAGUUUCGGCGGUUGGGGAUGGACUCGCGGCUUAUCAGCUUGUUGGUGGGGUAGUGGCUUACCAAGGCUUUGACGGGUAGCCGGCCUGAGAGGGUGACCGGCGACAUUGGGACUGAGAUACGGCCCAGACUCCUACGGGAGGCAGCAGUGGGGAAUAUUGCACAAUGGGCGGAAGCCGGAUGCAGCAACGCCGCGUGCGGGAUGACGGCCUUCGGGUUGUAAACCGCUUUCGCCUGUGACGAAGCGUGAGUGACGGUAAUGGGUAAAGAAGCACCGGCUAACUACGUG
rnacentral:rRNA from 1 species